GACGAACGCUGGCGGCGUGCUUAACACAUGCAAGUCGAACGAAAAUACCAAGCUUGCUUGGUUGAUUAGUGGCGAACGGGUGAGUAACACGUGAGUAACCUGCCCCUUACUUUCCUGGAUAACUGCUCGAAAGGGUAGCUAAUACGGGAUAUUCUGACCUGCCUGCAUGGGUUGGUUUGGAAAGGUUAUUUUUUUUCUGGUAAGGGAUGGGCUCGCGGCCUAUCAGCUUGUUGGUGGGGUGAUGGCCUACCAAGGCUUUGACGGGUAGCCGGCCUGAGAGGGUGGACGGUCACACUGGGACUGAGAUACGGCCCAGACUCCUACGGGAGGCAGCAGUGGGGAAUAUUGCACAAUGGGCGCAAGCCUGAUGCAGCGACGCCGCGUGAGGGAUGAAGGCCUUCGGGUUGUAAGCCUCUUUCGUCUGGAACAAGGCACUGUCUUUUUGGUGGUGUUGAGGGUACCUGGAUAAGAGCGACGGCUAACUACGUGCCAGCAGCCACGGGUAAAAGCCUUGGGCGGCCCUCCCCCCCGAAUUAUUGUGCGUGAACACCCCCCCCGCGGCUAAAUCGCGUCUGUCUUGAAAAACUCUGCCGCAACCGGGGGGUUGCGGUGAAUACCGCGCCCUAGCUACGCUUUAAAGGGAAAUGUGGACUUUAUGUAUAUUGUUACUCCGCUGCUAUCAAAAAAACACCACUAAGCAUAAGGUGGUUUGUUAUUUUUUUUGCGAUGAACAGCGUAUAA
rnacentral:rRNA from 1 species